rnacentral:rRNA from 1 species
CGGGUGAGUAACACGUAUCCAACCUGCCGUCUACUCUUGGACAGCCUUCUGAAAGGAAGAUAAUACAAGAUGGCAUCAUGAGUCCGCAUGUUCACAUGAUUAAAGGUAUUCCGGUAGACGAUGGGGAUGCGUUCCAUUAGAUAGUAGGCGGGGUAACGGCCCAGCUAGUCUUCGAUGGAUAGGGGUUCUGAGAGGAAGGUCCCCCACAUUGGAACUGAGACACGGUCCAA